rnacentral:rRNA from 1 species
GACGAACCGUGCGAACGUUGUUCGGAUUCACUGGGCUUAAAGGGCGCGUAGGCGGUCGACCAAGUCUGGGGUGAAAUCUUUCGGCUUAACCGGAAAAGUGCCCCGAUACUGGCCGGCUAGAGGGAGAUAGGGGCAUGUGGAACUUCCGGUGGAGCGGUGAAAUGCGUAGAUAUCGGAAGGAACGCCGGUGGCGAAAGCGACGUGCUGGAUCUCUUCUGACGCUGAGGCGCGAAAGCCAGGGGAGCAAACGGGG